UAUCUUCAAAAACCGAAAGAGAAUCCUUAUAUUGAGGGUGUCGGGCAACCGACUAUGGAAAUAAACGUCGUACGGAAUAAACGUAGCGGACCCGGGGGCAGUACCCGGCGCCUCCACCAUUUUCCGGAUUACCGGCACUGAUUUGCCGGAACUCUAUGGGGGCGAACUAGGCUCGACGUGCGCAGUAAAGGUAUAGAUUUUUUCCCGGCAUGAUACCGCCGUUAUCGGGUCAAACCUACAGGUGCCAACGAUAACGCACCCAUCGCUCUCGCGGCUUAACAGCCUGUGAAAAGCGCGGCUCGGGGGGCGCCGGGCAACAGAAGCCCCCCACU
rnacentral:tmRNA from 1 species